rnacentral:rRNA from 1 species
AGAGUUUGAUCCUGGCUCAGAAUGAACGCUGGCGGCAUGGAUGAGGCAUGCAAGUCGGACGGAGAGGCCCCGCAAGGGGCCGAUCAGUGGCGCAAGGGUGAGUAACACGUGAGCAAUCCGCCCCCGAGUCCGGGACAGCUCCGGGAAACUGGAAUUAAUACCGGAUGCGGCGUGCGGGCCGCAUGGCCUGCCCGCCAAAGGUUGACUCCGCCCGGGGAGGAGCUCGCGGCCCAUUAGCUGGUUGGCGGGGUAACGGCCCACCAAGGCUGAGACGGGUAGGUGGUCUGAGAGGAUGGUCACCCACACUGGGACUGAGACACUGCCCAGACUCCUACGGGAGGCUGCAGUCGAGAAUCUUCCGCAAUGGGCGCAAGCCUGACGGAGCGAUGCCGCGUGGGGGAUGAAGGCCUUCGGGUUGUAAACUCCUGUCACCCGGGACGAAGAAUGUGACGGUACCGGGAGAGGAAGCCACGGCUAACUACGUGCCAGCAGCCGCGGUAAUACGUAGGUGGCGAGCGUUAUUCGGAUUCACUGGGCGUAAAGGGUCCGUAGGGGGUUUGCCAAGUCUGGUGUGAAAGCCCGCCGCUCAACGGCGGAACGGCACUGGAGACUGACGAACUCGAGUUCAUGAUGGGAGAGCGGAAUUCCUGGUGUAGCGGUGGAAUGCGUAGAUAUCAGGAGGAACACCCGCGGCGAAGGCGGCUCUCUGGCGUGAAACUGACCCUGAAGGACGAAAGCGUGGGUAGCAAACAGGAUUAGAUACCCUGGUAGUCCACGCUGUAAACGGUGUGCACUAGAUGU